UACGGGGGGGGCAAGCGUUGUUCGGAAUUACUGGGCGUAAAGGGCUCGUAGGUGGCCAACUAAGUCAGACGUGAAAUCCCUCGGCUUAACCGGGGAACUGCGUCUGAUACUGGAUGGCUUGAGUUUGGGAGAGGGACGCGGAAUUCCAGGUGUAGCGGUGAAAUGCGUAGAUAUCUGGAGGAACACCGGUGGCGAAGGCGGCGUCCUGGACCAACACUGACGCUCAUGCACGAAAGCGUGGGGAGCAAACAGG
rnacentral:rRNA from 1 species